UUUUUGGCGUGUUUAUUUGACUGACUUGAACUCAUACCAUUGAGGCAAAAUGAGACAGCUGAGUCUAAAGGGCUAUUCCAUUUAAUAUCCGUACCCCCCCUGUCGAGGAUCCCUGGAAUUCUUCAGGGGUAAAGGGUUUUGAGCUUGGAAUUCUUCAGGGGUAAAGUGUUUUGAGCUUGGAAUUCUUCAGGGGUAAAGUGUUUUGAGUUUGGAAUUCUUCAGGGUAAAUGGUUUUGAGCUUGGAAUUCUUCAGGGGCAAAGGGUUUUGAGCUUGGAAUUUUGGAAUUCUUCAGGGUAAAAGGUUUUGAGCUUGGAAUUCUUCAGGGGUAAAGAGUUUUGAGCUUGGAAUUUUGGAAUUCUUCAGGGGUAAACAGUUUUGAGCUUGGAAUUCUUCAGGGGUAAAGAGGUUUGAGAAUAAAAUUUUUCAGAGCUUGGAAUUCUUCAGGGGCAAAGGGUUUUGAGCUUGGAAUUCUUCAGGGGUAAAGGGUUUUGAGCUUGGAAUUCUUUAGGGGUGAAGGGUUUUGAGCUUGGAAUUCUUUAGGGGUAAAGGGUUUUGAGCUUGGAAUUCUUUAGGGGCAAAGGGUUUUGAGCUUGGAAUUUUGGAAUUCUUCAGGGUAAAAGGUUUUGAGCUUGGAAUUCUUCAGGGGUAAAGAGUUUUGAGCUUGGAAUUUUGGAAUUCUUCAGGGGUAAACAGUUUUGAGCUUGGAAUUGUUCAGGGGUAUAACUAUGAAAAACAUGUAUCCUCGACAGGGGGGAUAUGGAUAUUAAAUGGAAUAGCCAAACCAAGUAAUAUAUAUUUGUUCAGUGUGAUUGCUGUUCAUUUCACCUUUUACUGUGCCUUGCUUUAUUGUCAUUUGUCAAUAUAUGAUAUAAAUACUAUCUUGGAUUAUUACCAGUACUAUUUGUGUUAUAUUGAAGUCCUCGAUUACUGA